UGCGCCUUGCCAGCCCGCUCAGAAACUUAAAUGAAUUGACGGGGGCCCGCACAAGCAGCGGAGCAUGUGGUUUAAUUCGAAGCAACGCGAAGAACCUUACCAAGACUUGACAUCCCCUGACAGCUGUUGAAAGGCAGUGUCUCUUCGGAGCAGGGAGACAGGUGGUGCAUGGUUGUCGUCAGCUCGUGUCGUGAGAUGUUGGGUUAAGUCCCGCAACGAGCGCAACCCUUAUCCUUAGUUACCAGCACGUAAAGGUGGGGACUCUAGGGAGACCGCCGGGGACGACUCGGAGGAAGGUGGGGACGACGUCAAAUCAUCAUGCCCCUUAUGUCUUGGGCUACACGCGUGCUACAAUGGCCGCAACAGAGGGAAGCGAGAGCGCAAGCUGGAGCAAAACCCUAAAAAGCGGUCCCAGUUCGGAUUAGUGGGCUGCAACCCGCCCACAUGAAGUCGGAGUUGCUAGUAAUCGCGAAUCAGCAUGUCGCGGUGAAUGCGUUCCCGGGCCUU
rnacentral:rRNA from 1 species